rnacentral:lncRNA from 1 species
UUGGUAGCAUGUUAUUGUCAGUAACAGAAAUGUAAUGUAGUUUUUGUUCAUAAAGUAAUCGAUCAUGAUUGAUAACAUAAUUAAAUUUGAGUAAUUGAUUAUAACUUGAUUACUUUUGACAUUUGUCUUGCCCAUCUGUUAUCUUUAAUUUUGUUUUUAAUUGUGUAGCUCAAGAAUCGUGAAAGGAAGAUUCAUAUUUACACAACACAAAUAAUAACAAAUUCAAUUUUUUUUAUAUACUUUAUUCAGUUUGUAAUUAAUAAUCAUUCAAGGAAAUUACUUUAUAACUAUUUGAUACAUAACAAAGGAACUGUUUGAUUUCUGACAUAACAGUUGAAUGAAAUACAUUUAUAAAGUCCUUUUUCACUGUGGAAUGUCUACAAUAGAGUAUAUGAUGACAUCCGAUUAUAAAACCUAAGAAAAACACCCUUAAAAACUGAACUUACAAGGUUGCAAAGAAUACCUUUAAAAAGCAAUUAACUACUAAAUGUCUUCAUUUAUAUGUUUAAAUAUCAAGAAGUGGAGAGUAACAAAAUAUUGGUUUAUAUACAGACUAACAAGAUUGGAACACUCCAUUCUGCUAGUUCAAAAUUCAUAAAGUUUUUUUGUCAUUACAGAGGUAGGCUACAACACCAGAUUAAAUUGCUGAUGUAACUCUUUGCAGAUUGAAGGGGGGGGUCUGAUAAAUUUAUCGGUCGUAUAAAAAAUACAUAUAUGUUAAUAGGUUGAAAUUGUGUUACUUUAUUAGUUAUAUCAUAUAUUGUCAUAAUUGUGUAUAGCAAUCUUCUACAUGGGUAAAAUGUAACAAUGUUGAGUGUUUUUUGAGUUUGGAGACAGAUAUUGCAACAUCUGUAACAGCCUCUUAUAAUAUAUAUAAUAUUAUCAUCUUUAUACAGUUCAUGAUAAAUGAACAAAUAAGUUUUAUAGUGUGCACGACACAGAAAUCUGUAACCUUAGAUAAGGUAAGAUAGAUUUAAAUAAAUUAAGUAACCCAAAACAUCAAAAUUAUUUAGAAAAAUAAAUGU